UACAGAGGUCUCAAGCGUUGUUCGGAUUCAUUGGGCGUAAAGGGUGCGUAGGCGGCGCGGUAAGUCGGGUGUGAAAUCUCGGGGCUUAACUCCAAAACUGCAUUCGAUACUGCCGUGCUUGAGGACUGGAGAGGAGACUGGAAUUUACGGUGUAGCGGUGAAAUGCGUAGAUAUCGUAAGGAAGACCAGUGGCGAAGGCGGGUCUCUGGACAGUUCCUGACGCUGAGGCACGAAGGUCAGGGGAGCAAACGGG
rnacentral:rRNA from 1 species